rnacentral:lncRNA from 1 species
UACUUGUCUUCGCUGAACGCCAUAAGCCCACAACUGUCGAUGAGUUUAAACGUAAGCAAUACAAAAAAUGCUCCACUACAUUUUAAUCGGUUCUUAGUUCAAGUGUGCUCAUAUAAAUAUAAAUAAUAUUUAUGCUAACUCUCGUUUCGGUUCCUCCUCCUAUGGCAGGUUUUGUAACUUUCACACUUGACAAAAUUUGUGCUAGGUAAGUUGAUGUAUAUGUAUCAAUGGGCAUAUGUCUCAUUUGAUUGGAUUCUUGGGCAUAUGUGUUUUUGGUUUUAUGCAAAAAAGAUCAAUUUGUCUCCCCGUUUUUCGUCUUUGCAAAAUUAGCAACAGAAUUAUUAGCUUUCCAUUUGAAGGUGGAUUUGUAUUGAACUAUGAUAAUCAUGGC